rnacentral:tRNA from 1 species
GUGGUCGUAGCUCAGCUGGUCAGAGCGCCGCGUUGUGGUCGCGGAUGUCGGGGGGUUCGAAUCCCCUCGGUCACCCCA